UAAAUUGCUAAAGUUAAACUGGAUUGCUGGCAUAAUUGCGUAAGAAGAAGGUGAAGUAGUGAGAAUAGUUGGAAAAGUGGGAAUGGUUUUAAUUAGAAUGAAUUUCAUUGACAUGUUGAAUAAUACCAAUAAUGUAUUAAACAAAUAUUGGAAUAUUUAAAGU